CCCUUAGAUGUUCUGGGCCGCACGCGCGCUACACUGAUGCAUUCAACGAGUUUCUUCCUGGUCCGAGAGGAAUGGGUAACCUUUUGAAAGUGCAUCGUGAUAGGGAUAGACUAUUGCAAUUAUUGAUCUUCAACGAGGAAUUCCUAGUAGACGUAGUUCAUCAGACUGCAUCGAUUACGUCCCUGCCCUUUGUACACACCGCCCGUCGCUCCUACCGAUUGGGUGUGCUGGUGAAAUGUUCGGAUCGGCCGUUUGUCGCGGUUUCCGCGUCAUGUGGCUGAGAAGUUCAUUAAACCCUCCCACCUAGAGGAAGGAGAAGUCGUAACA
rnacentral:rRNA from 1 species